AAUAAAGGACAGCUGAGUCUUUAAAAGGUUGUAGAGGGUGGAAGAUGUCAGAGAGAGAAAUACUGGGGGAGGGACAGCUUUCCACACAGGCACCUUCUGCAGCAGCAGAUGGAGAGGGAAGUUGCUGCCUGAUUCCUGCCGAGUCAGGAAAGGAAAAGGAUGACAUAAUAAUGAGGUGAUCACAGGCAUAGAGAACUGGGAGAGAGAACAAAGAAGAGAUGCCAGGGAGACAGAGACCAAGAACUCAGCUCCAGGGACAUUGGUAUCAGAUGGUGCUAUAAGAUGUGGUGGCCAGAUAAAGGUUUCAAGCAGAAGCUUUGGCAAAAAAGAAUGGAAUAAGAGAUGGAUGUUGCAGGGGAAGCAGAUGGGGAAGUGGCAAGACCAUGUCCUAUAUUUCCUUGGCUGCUGUGGAAGAUGAAGCAGACUCGUUACAAAGUAUUUCCUAAUGGAAUCAAUCUAACCUCCAGUCACUGCAGCAGCCUGAAGUUGCCAGAUACGAGACCAUGUUCAUCUGGAGAGAAGAGAUCCUCCCUUGGAAGCAGAACUCUGGGGCACCCUAGCAAUCUGAUCACAGAAAGAAUCUUCCCCUGGUGUGGAGGAUGGUUAUCACAUUUCAAGCAGGGGAGGAGCUUGGUGGUGUGUUCUCGGGUACACUGUAUACAAGCAUCUCACUUUAUAUAGUACCUGAACAGGGCUUUUGGGGUCGUCUGUACCCAUGUACUAUUAUCAUAUGUAAUUGAGUAUAUGCAUACUGUUAUUAAUGUAUAUGGGUUGCAUGAUUCUCACAGCUAGUGGCCCAGGCAUGCAGGGCCCAGGCAUAGUACUCAGAGUAUGUUAUCAUACUACUCAGGCAUACUACUCAGAGUAUGUUUGGAGGACUUGGGUUAUUAGAUAUGGGAACAAUCCAGCAUGCAAAUAUUCUUAAUUGUACUCUGUGCCCUGUGAGUACAUUUUUUGUGCACAGAACAUCUUGCACAAGUACGAUUUUUGAGAAGAUGUUUUUAAAAAAUAGCCACAGCAAGAAAAUACCUUUCUUGCGGUGGAGGUAGUGAGUGAUAUUGGCUUGGUGCAACUGAAAACUCUUUUUUGCAUUUAGCAGAGUAAUCUGCUAGGUGACGUUAACUGGCAAGACACCUCUUAGAUUUAACCAAAGAAGAGGAACUGUCUCUAAUCAGUCCACUAUAGCAUUUUCUCUCUCUCUAGUGGCUGUUUCUGGUGUUUUGUGUAUAUGUGGGUGGGGGGCAGGGGCAGGGAACCAUUUCAUACAUUUUGCUGUGUAAACCAUUUUGUGAACUCUUUUUAAAUGAACUCUCAUUAAAGUGGUGUAAACCACUUUGUGAACUCUUUUUUGUUUAAAAAGCAGCAUAUAAAUAUUUUUAAUAAUAAGUCUAAGCAUUUACUUCUGGCUUGACAUGUAUAGAGUUAUGUUGUAAGUCUGACCAUCACCUCCUGCACUAUUCUAAAACUGUUGAAAACUGCAGACCUUUGGACUUGUUCAUCAUGACCACUUUUGUUGUUUUGCUUAAUAUCCAGCCUGGAGAAGAGUUAUGGAAACCUCAAAAGCCUGUUCACUGCUUUUAACCUAAUAAAAAGUCUGUAGAAUAUUAUAA